AUGCGUUGCGGUGAGCCGAGACUCGCUGAUUGGCUGGUUUAUGAUGCGUCGAUGGGUUCAUGGUCCAAGCGCCUGUUGCUGUGGACCAGGCGGCUAACCAGAUCACCAAAUCAGUUGAUUUUUUACCAAUUUUUACCUGAUUUGACUCGGGUUUGACCCAAUUGAGUCUUCUUUCUUCAUUCUUCAAUUCCUGGGUCAAUUUAACUCCGUUUUGCAUAAAAUUUGCGCCGUUGGAAUCCUCUUUCCUUGUUCUUUCUAUUGAUGACCUCUUCUUCUGCAAAAUAUAAUAACAAGUAUCAAUUUCCUAAUAAAAUUAAAUAAUUUAGAUAUUAAUUGAUACUUUUUAUGUCAAUUUAUGACAUAAAUCAC
rnacentral:lncRNA from 1 species